rnacentral:rRNA from 1 species
UACAGAGGGCGCGAGCGUUGUCCGGAAUCACUGGGCGUAAAGGGCGCGUAGGUGGCCACUAUAAGGCUGCGGUGAAAGUUCGGGGCUCAACCCCGAAUCUGCCGCGGCGACUGUAGGGCUUGGGCACCGUAGAGGCAGAUGGAAUUCCGGGUGUAGCGGUGGAAUGCGUAGAGAUCCGGAGGAACACCAGCGGCGAAGGCGGCAUCCUGGACUGGUCCUGACACUCAGGAGCGAAAGCGUGGGGAGCGAUCCGG